AGCUUUGCGCAGUGGCAGUAUCGUAGCCAAUGAGGUUUAUCCGAGGCGUGAUUAUUGCUAAUUGAAAACUUCUGAUAGCUAGGCCCUCACAUUGUAAGUAGCAGAUGUGUGGCCCAGUCUUCAGG
rnacentral:snRNA from 1 species